CAGCCGCCCGGUAAUACCGGCGGCCCGAGUGGCGGUCACUAUUAUUGGGCUUAAAGCGUCCGUAGCCGGGGUGGGAAGUCCUCCGGGAAAUCUGGCCGCUUAACGGUCAGAAUGCCGGAGGAUACUCCCAGCCUAGGGAGCGGGAGAGGCCGAGGGGAUUCCCGGAGUAGGGGUGAAAUCCUAUAAUCCCGGGAGGACCACCUGUGGCGAAGGCGCUCGGCUGGGACGCGUCCGACGGUGAGGGACGAAGGCCAGGGGAGCAAACCGGAUUAGAUACCCGGGUAGUCCUGGCUGUAAACGAUGCGGACUUUGUGUCGGACAAGCUAUGAGCUUGUCCGGUGCCGGAGGGAAACCGUUAAGUCCGCCGCCUGGGGAGUACGGCCGCAAGGCUGAAACUUAAAGGAAUUGGCGGG
rnacentral:rRNA from 1 species